UUCUUGAGUUCUCUCUCAUUUCUCCUCCGAUUCCCCUCAUUUUUUCACCGUUUUUUUUCAUUUUUUCUCCUCUAAUCCUCUCUCCUCCCCUUUGCAACCCAAAUCCCACCAUUUAUUUAGAGUUUUACCGACUUUCUUGCCGGAUCUACUCACCAAGGGAUGCCGAACAAGAGAGUUGCUUCUAAAAGGCCUAGACAUGAUGAUGUACCUACCGGUGACCUUCACUUCACACAACCCCAACAUCAGGCUCGGUAUAUAAAUUUGAAAACUAAACCGUUCGGCAUUACUCGAACCAUUGAGUGGGGCGACCUCGAAACUAUAGGUCUGGCCGACAAGGUAUUGAGUUUGAUCUCCCACAAUGGGUGGGACAAAGUGUUUGCAAUUGAAGAAGUGGCCUACCGUGAGAUUACAUUGGAAGUGUUGAGCACUAUUGAGGUUGUCCGGCCGCAUGGGGUCACUUUUCGUGCACUCGGUGUUACGCGCACUAUGAGCGAUCUACAGUUUGGACUUUACCUGGGUCUAUAUGACAAAGAAUUCAUCAAUCUAUCCUCCUCCCGCGAGCUCCCUAUAGAUUUUCCAGCCUGGAUGACUCACACCCGAUUCUGGAACCUGAUCUCGGGAUUUAGACCCAAUGAGUCCAAGAAGGCAUCUCGCCUACUUAAACCUGAGCACCGCUACAUACAGGGGCUAUUCAGUCGUGGUAUUGCGGGUCGUAAUGAUAGUACCGUGGAAAUCACACGUGCUGACUUACUUAUGCUGUAUAGUACGACCGAGCGGUACCCAAUCAACCUAGGACGUCUUUGUGCUGACCUGCUUGUCCGUCAAGGGACUUAUGCACGCCUCGGGGCUAUCUUUGCUGGACCGUAUGUUACGCGCCUAGUGCGAGGUAUGGGCUUGAUUGCACGCAUUGCGGGCAUGCAGGUUGUUGGUGGCACUACACCUCUUGGGUUGGCCACAUUAUGCGCCAUGGGGCUAGUAGACCAGCGUGGUGAUGGAUAUAUCCUCAUUCGUCAUUCAGUUACGGGAGAGCGCGUCGUCGACCCCCCAUCACAGUCCGAGCCAGAGCCUAGGGAAGAUGCAUCGGUUGAGCUUCGCCUACAAUAAAUUCAGAGCGAGAUUCAGUCCCUCCGACGUGGCCAUCAAGAGGCCAUGAUCAUUCUUGGUCAGCUGACAAGGGAUAUGAGCGAGGUUCUCUCAUUCAUUCGCCGAUCUUCAUUUUCUGCCGGUACCUCCUUUGGAACCACCACUUCUAUAGCACCGGCUGCACCUACAGAAACCCGUCCUGAAGACUGAGAGAGCAGGAUCCUCUUCUUUUUGUAUCUUUUACUAUUUCUUUGUUUCAUGUGUUUCCGUCGGUCAUGUUCUGUACUUUUCAGUUAGCAAGGGUUCUUGCCUUGCUAGACUUAUAUUUUCUUUUUAUGGUCUAUUUUCUUUUUUUUUUCUCUCUUUUAUCCCUACUUGUUGUCCUUGGAAUCGUGAUAUGCUUGUCUAUUUUUUUUGCAGGAACACCGAGAUGUGGGUUCCACCCCUCCUCCCUCUACAGUCUUGACAAUUCCAUAUUCGCCUCAAAGAAGCUUAAUUGAGCUCGAGAACGCAAUUGUGGUGAAAUCAACACCAAAAAUCAUGUUCUUGAAGCCAAAAACACUGUUGCGAUUUUUGUAGCAAGGAACCGGGGCCCUACUUGGAUUAGGCUGUGAAACUCGCGAGC